UACGUGGGGGGCAAGCGUUGUUCGGAAUUACUGGGCGUAAAGGGCUCGUAGGUGGCCAACUAAGUCAGACGUGAAAUCCCUCGGCUUAACCGGGGAACUGCGUCUGAUACUGGAUGGCUUGAGUUCGGGAGAGGGAUGCGGAAUUCCAGGUGUAGCGGUGAAAUGCGUAGAUAUCUGGAGGAACACCGGUGGCGAAGGCGGCAUCCUGGACCGACACUGACACUGAGGAGCGAAAGCCAGGGGAGCAAACGGG
rnacentral:rRNA from 1 species